rnacentral:lncRNA from 1 species
GAAGUUUCUUCUUCGGCCAAACCAUCUUGUAUCCCUGGUGAAUCCUCCGGCCGGAUAAGUGAGCAGGACAGGUCAUUUGCUGGAAAGAAUCUUUGAUAGCUCCUGUAGAGUAAGCCCGGUGUUCAAGACCACCUGUGGUAUGGUUCUUUGCUAUCAUUCUCCUGUGUGUCAGAGUGUGUGUGCACACACGUAUGUACGAUGUGGAUGCUAUAGGACAGCCUUGGAUGUUACUCCUUGGGGAUCAUCAUCCCCCCUACCUUGGUUUUGGGAUAGGGACUCUGACUGGCUGGGAACUCAUCAAGAAUAGACUGGGUGGCCAGGUAGCCCAGGUGUCUGCUUUUCCCUCCUACCAUUCUAUAUCCCCAGGCAGGCUCUGCACUUUCAGGCAAGUGUCUGGUCACCCCGCACACUGGUGCCUGAGUAUAGAAUUGAAGUCCAGAGAGAAUGUUAGUUAUCAAAGCCUAUACAAAUUUGGGCCCCAGCUGCCAAUUCCACUUUCAGUCUGUGUAGAGCUGAUGGGCUGUGCCCACCUGGUUCCUGGACACACUUCCUGAAUUGUUCAGAGGUAGACAUAGGGACUGAUGUGUGCACAGAUCUCAGCAGUAGACCCAUCUUGCUUUCUGUCUAAGCAUAUUAGAUGGCAUGAGUCUCUCAUUCCUCCAGCAAUGGCUGCUGAUGCUGAGCAGGUCAUGGACCUGACUACCAGACUCCAUUGGUGCAUUACCCUUUAUUGGCUGCAA